rnacentral:rRNA from 1 species
CCUACGGGAGGCAGCAGUGGGGAAUAUCGCACAAUGGGCGAAAGCCUGAUGCAGCGACGCCGCGUGAGUGAAGAAGUAUUUCGGUAUGUAAAGCUCUAUCAGCAGGGAAGAAAAUGACGGUACCUGACUAAGAAGCCCCGGCUAACUACGUGCCAGCAGCCGCGGUAAU